CUUUUUUGGUAAUCACAGCUUCAGGAUGCCUCCUAUAUGGAGAAACUAGUCACAUGCAUUGCUCAGUUGUGAUUUUGGCCCAUUGUUCCAUAUAAACAGUCUACAAAUCUUGAAGGAUUUGCACACCUCAAUAUGGUUU